GCUCCCAUUAGGAAUCUAUGGGUCCCAAACAGGAUCUAUGGGUCCCAUUAUGUCCUAUGGGGCUCUAUGGGUCCCAUUAAUGAUCUAUGGGUCCCAAUGAGGAUCUAUGGGUCCCAUUGUUCUCUAUGGGGCUCUAUGGGUCCCAAUGAGGAUCUGUGGGUCCCUUUGUUCUCUAUGGGGUUCUAUGGGGCUCUCUGGGGCUCUAUGGGACUCUAUGGGUCCCAAUGAUGAUCUAUGGGUCCCAUUAAGGAUCUAUGGGUUCCAAUCAGGAUCUGUGGGUCCCAUUGUUCUCUAUGGGACUCUAUGGGUCCCAAUCUGGGUCUAUGGGUCCCAAACAGGAUCUAUGGGUCCCAAUCAGGAUCUGUGGGUCCCAUUGUUCUCUAUGGGGCUCUAUGGGGCUCUAUGGGGUUCUAUAGGGCUCUAUGCGGUUCUAUGAGACUCUAUGGGGUUCUAUGGGGCUCUAUGCGGUUCUAUGGGGCUCUAUGGGGUUCCAUGGGGCUCUAUGUGACUCAAUGGGGCUCUCUGGGGCUCUAUGGGGUUCUAUGGGACUCUAUGGGUCUCUCUGGGGCUCUCUGGGGCUCUCUGGGGCUCUAUGCGGUUCUAUGGGACUCUAUGGGGUUCUAUGGGGCUCUGUGGGGCUCUAUGGGGCUCCAUGGGCCCCAUGGCCCCAAUACCCCCCGCCCCACACCGCUCCCCGUUGCCAGGAGGGGACGCUGCGCUUCUGCGGGACGACGGCGUUCGCCAGCGGUCAGUGGGCCGGGGUGGAGCUGGACGGACCGCAGGGCAAGAAUGACGGCAGCGUGGGGGGGGUCCGCUACUUCAUCUGCCCCCCUAAGACCGGUGUCUUCGCCUCGGUGUCGCGCAUCUCCAAGGCGGAGCAGCAGCCGGCAGCGCCGUCCCCCCCCCACAGCCCCCCCCGCAGCGCCCCCAAGGGCCGCAAGGAGAAGAGAGGUGAUUGGCUGCGGCCAGAGGGGGGCGGGGCGAAGGGUGGGAGGGGCUACGGGGAUUGGUCAGGGUGGGGAGG
rnacentral:lncRNA from 1 species